AUGCAAUGAUCAUCUUCGACACUGUAAAUCAUUGAUUCCUGCUCUUUACACCUUCAUUUAUACGAGAUGUAUCUUUCCACCUCCCUUUUGUUUUUCUCCUAUAUAAUCCCUUUUAUCUAAAACACUUCUUAGAAACGCCAACCUAAUCAAUUUAGCAGCAGCAAGCACUCUAAAAUCGACUCCUCUUCACCUUCAUCGUUCUCAUACGAGAAAUACAGUACAUGGCAAGGAAACGUCCAGAUCAACGGGGAAGGCACCGGCGGCUAUGUUCUUCGAUGACACCUCUGGAUUAAAUAGUCUGAGAUGCGAUUCCUUUUCAUUACUGGAAAGCAAUUACCAAUCAAAGAAGAUUGUGAGAAUCCAUAUGUAGCUUCAGACUUCUCACUCACACCACUUCCAGUGAUGAAUGGAGAAGACUAUGUCUGUCUUUGUUUCCUUUCCUCCAAGUACCGAGUAUGCAAUAUCAAAAUCUGGUGGAAGUGGUUGACAAUUGGAUAUGCUUAUCUUGGAUACAUUAUAGAAGGUAGCACAGAUCAUCCUUAUUCAUUAUACGUUUGAAUUUCUUGUGUUAAUGUAUGCUGAUGUUUUCAAAUUCUUUCUUUCAUUGUGACUGCAACAAGAUCCCACAACACCCCGGUUAGCUUUAUUUUGAAAGAUUAUGAGUUUUUUCUCCUUCUAUUGUUUAUAUAUGCUUACUUUUUUUUGUAGACGCUAGAGACAAUAAAAUGACAGUGUCCUUUGCUUAGAUGAUAUAUGUACCGUGCAACCAUUCAGUCCUACCAAUGAUAUAGAUCUUACUCCAAUUUUCGUAAGCCAAUGUGCUAUGGAUAGCCGUGCUGUGAAGUUUCCGUAUUUAGUUCAAGUGAAACUUAAAAAGGCCAACAAGCUAGGCGAGUAGAACAGCUGGGUUGGAGAGUAAUCAAAGAAGAUUAUGAGAAGCCAUUUUUAGCUGCAAACUUAUCAUUCAGGCCACUUACAGGAAGUUAAUCAAAGCGUCUUUCAUGUCUCCCUGCUGCAUCUAUGUGGAAUCUCCAUCAUUAGUUAUGCCGUCGGUGAUGCAUGGAGAUGACUAUGCCCGUCUUGGUUUCCUUUUUGGAGAAAAAUCAAGAGUGGCUUAUAUAUUCGAUGUUUCACGUUUUCCUCUCUGCACCGAGUACAGUAAGUGUAACAGAUUGCUUAGUGGGUGUUGUUUUUCUUUUACUCUCAAAGAAGAUAUCUCAGACGCUAUUGUCUUUGGAGCAUACAGUUAUAUCAAAAUCUGGUGGUGGACAACUAGAUCUGCUUAACUUGGAUACAUCAUUUAAGAAAUGAUCACUCAACACCACUUAUGUUUCCCAGGCCACAUGUAUGCUUACUUUGUUUUGUGUAGACACUAGAGACAAUCGAAUUUCCGUGUACUAAAAGAGGUCUUUUAGGCAGAAUGACUCACGAGUUUGAUCACCACAAGGACAACGAGUGUCUUGAAGAAUGGUCUAAUAGGAAGGAGCGAACAGACUUGCAACGGUCUGCUGGUAACCUUGCUACAUGAGACUACACUGCAGCAGUAGGGAAAAUCACAGAGGCUCAUUCAGAUUUGUGAUGGGAUUCAUCUCGGUUAAUCCUGUGUCUUGGAAAUGGGAGAUGUGUAUCCGUCUAUGAUGCACUUGGUCAAAAAUAUAACACUCCACACUCUGAAUUUUUUGAUUUGAGGAACCUUUCUUUUGCGUGGUAUUCCAUAUUUUGUAAAGAUUAUCCCCAAAUGCUAAUACAUCACAACACCACCUAGCACCGUGUGGAUCAAGACUUGCAUCAAAAAGCUACUUCAAUGAUUGAAUGGGAAUAAAAGAUUUUGAUCAGUUGGGCUUUUGUUUUUGUGUGUUUAUGGUUAUCUGUAUUCAUGUUUAUUACUGUCACAGGCUAUAUAGUUUCUGUAAAACCUAUUAUUAUUUAUCGAAAACUUGCUUAAUGUUAACAAAGAAUACAUAUACGUGUUGUAGUUAAACUUACACAUCUUACAGAUGAGUUGUGUUUAGCUUUAUUUAUGUUUUAUGUAAGCUUAUGUAUGUUAUAAGAUAUACUCGAAUUUAAUUAUAUACGCAGGUGUGCAUACUUUUUUAAAUUGACAAUAUUUAUCAAUGUUCUAUAAAUCGUUAAGCGGUAACUAAACGCUUUAUAGAGGACUAACGACUAGGCGGAUUAUUCGGAGCCUAGGUGAGACCUAGACGUUAGCAAAUUAUUGAUUUAUUUUAUAUAUUUUAUACAUUUAUAUGACAUAUUUUAGCUUUUAAGUUUAAUUAUAAAAUUAUUGAGAUGAAUUAUCAAAACUAGAUACACAAAACAGAAGAAAUUAGACAAAUUUAUAGAUAUGUAAUAAUAUUAUUGCUUAAUUUAACAUAUAUAGACAAUUUUAGAUCGAUUUUAACCAAUUUUAACCGAUUUAGAACAGUUUAAACCAAUUUGAAUCAUAUAAAUCGGUAUAAAUCGGAUUUUAAAAAAAUCGUUUCGGAUAGGACUGAGUUGGCGGCGCCUAGGCCCCUACGACCAGUUGAAAACAUUCCUAGACCGAUUUUUAUAACCUUGAUAUUUAUAAAAUAAAAUGAGCAAUAUUUAAAGUAGUAAUAUUUUUACGUUAAAAUAAUUAGUUUUUAUCUAUUAAAAUUCAAGCAUUUUCAUAUUAUAUUUCUUAUAUAAUAAUUAGAACUAAACCUAUAGACAUUAUUAGAUAUAAUAUUAUAAAAGUUAAGGGAAAAAUCAAUAUACGAAAACAAUAUCACACCUAUAAAAACAAAAUCAACAAAAAAAAAUAACAACUCCAACCUACUUUUGUUAUCUUUAUUAUUUAGUCAUGUUACUAUAAUAAAUUUUGGUUUUAUAAAUGUAAAGUAAUUUUAAAUUAUUAUUACUUUGGGUUUUACUAAAACAACAAAUGAUACUACGCUAACAACAAAUGAUAUUAAAUUAUCAAUUGAAAAUUUCUACUACCAAUAUUCCAUAAACUCUAUAUAUUUGAAAAAUAUGGCAUAUGUCAUGAAUACUUUCUUCAAAUAUAAGAAUCUGAAGUUGGUUUAAAAAAAGAAUUAAAAGUUGUGUUUCUAUUGACAAAAAUAUAUAAUUACAAACCCGUUUAUUAUGAUUGUAGAUAUAAUAAUAAAAAAAUUGACUUUACUCCAAAUAUUUAUGUUUAGUUCUUAUAAGAAGUAAAUGCCCCUUACCCUAAAAUCCUAAACUAUCUAUAUUAAUAAAGUUGCUCAGAAACUCUCCUCAGGCCUCCACCUCAGCGUUGCAUAUCUGAAAACAUGACACAUGUCAUCUCUUAAAACUAUAUGAAGUUCCGUCUUCUUCCUAACCUCUGCGAUACGGCCUUUUUAACGCCUACUCUACAUUCACGCUAAGUAAUAAAGCUUCUCAUUUAUGGGCUUCAACCCACACCUCCCACUAUCUAACAUUAAAUUCUCUGAUUCCGAUCUUUUCAUCCUAUAUAUAGAGAAAUUUGUACAAAUAACUCAUUGAUUGCAAUCAGAUGCGCUGAGAAGAUAUGUAUUUAGUAAGAGGAAGUGGUGGCUACGGACAACCGGUAACCGCCGUACGGUUCUCAAUUGGGUUAUCCUCACAAUCUCAUCCAGGAAGAACAGUCAGUCGGGCAGAAGAGGUAUCUCAGAUUCCUUUGACCUUUCGCCAUCCAUCAUUAAAUAAAAGAAAUGUCCUCAGAAGACUGACAUUGGUGCCUACAGAUAUCAUUUAUCCACAGCCACUCAUUACGGAACGCAAUAUGGGUCGGUCUAUGGAGCUACUUCUCUUACCAGCUCCCAUCUUUGAGCACACAAGUCGUCGGAUUAUCCGGAUAUGUCCCCACUCUGCCAGCCACCAAAGUAUGCUUCUGGAAGCUAUUUGUCUCCCUCGAGCAACGUUUAUGGUCAAAAGGUAGAAGAUUUGUAUUCAGAUAAGCUGUCUGGUUACGUUUUCGUUGACAGAAGGCAGUUUGGUGAAAGGUCAAAUAUUUAUCUUGGUCGGGAGUUGCAAAGUGACACAACUACUCGAUAUUCUGAUUCACAACAGCCGUGACACUAUUCUGCACAUCCAAGUACACAAACUUAAUCUCUACGUUGUUGACUUGAAAUAGAGAGUAUGGAGAAAGAAAAGGAACAUUUCACCUCCGACUUCUCCAAAGUUAAUAUCUUUCUGUUUCAAAAAGUCAUAUGGUUAACAACAUCCAAUGCUGUAUCUGUUGAUUUACUGUUUUGAGUAUCUAACAGCCUUAGAAAAUAAAUGCAGGAAUACUAUGAGGACAUUGUUAUACAAUGGAAGGUGAAGCUGGAGAGAAGUGCUUCGGGCCGGGUGAGCAGAAGCGGGAACUUUUUAUAGCAUUAUAGCCAACAAAAUUUAUGAAGUCUUUUACUUUUAUAUGUACGUUUGCUUCUUCAAAUAUAAAAAUAUUAUUUCCCUUUGGCAAUGAUGUUAUGUGGACUUGUGUGUUGUGUUUGAUUUCGUUUGUCUUCACUAUUUUUGGUUUGAUAUAUAAACUGAUUUUCGUUUGGUUCAUUCUUUGUUUCCCAUCAUUAUUUGUGUUAAAUUUGAAUAAUUAUAAUUUUUUUAUUUUGUUUAGAUUUUUGUAGCAAUGUGUUUGAUGAAACCGGGUUAGUCAUAUUGAAAUGUGGCUACAAGGUCUUUAGCCUGUGGGUCUAUUCAAUCUUGUCUGAAUUGGGCAUUGCUUGAUAUCGAUUGUGAUGGAUCCAUGGCUAAUAAGUCUAUUUCUAUCUUUAUCUUAGAAUUAGACAACAUUUAAAGUAUUGUGGGCUUUUAGGCCUAAAAAUAUUAAAAUUAAUCGAAAUUGUAAAUUCUGAAAAAAUCAGAAUUUUUGUUACAGCGUACAAAUAGAACACUAUUGUCCAUAAUACCUCACCAUAAUAUUAAUUUUUUGUUUAAUUAUACCACAUUUUCUCAUCUUCUAUUAUUUAAACCAAAUCUAUCUAAAAACCCAAUUAAUAGUUUGUUUUCAGUUCAACAAAUUUUUUGACAUCAAUAUUUCUAACAAUGAAAAUACAUAAUGUAGUCUAAAAAUACAUCAAAUUAAGAAUAGAUAGAAAAUAUUAAGAAUAACAAAAAGAGAGGAAUUCAUUUACGAUUUUGUUUUUUCUCACUUUUAUUGAACCCAUCUAUCAAAAAAAAAAGUGGAUCUCACUGACUUUUUUUCCUUCAUCAAACAGAUUCGAAAAACAACAAAAAAACAUAGAAAUCCACAUUCAAAGAUUAAUACACGAUCCAAAAAAAAUAGUGUGGAAAAUGAAGGUACUAGACACAAACAGUAAAAAAAAUAGUAAAAAUACAUAAUCUAACUUGAGUUCGGGGAAAACUUUAGUCAACAAAUAAUAAUUUGUGAAAUUACAUAAUAUAAUUUAAAAUACAUAAAUGUUAUAAACUGAUUAAAACAUUCAGAAGAAAUAAAAUGAGAAAAUUCUGUUUAUGCUAUUUUCUUUUCCACGGUUCACUAAACCUAGGGCAAUGAAGACCAAAUGGAGUAAAUCUCAUAAAAUUUUCUGUAGUUUUGAAAAAUUAAUAAAAAGAAAUGAUGGAACUACAAUCAAUGAUGAAUACAUAAUUAAAUCAUAGGUUAAUAAGAUCAUGAAUAUCAGAGAAUACUAAAGGGUUUCUUGACUCCUGGGCCCCACAAAAAAUUUAAAAAUCAGUUUCAAAAGGCGUGAGAUAAGGACCGAUUGUCGUGGUUUUUUGUACUGUUCGCGAACCCACCGACACGUGGCGCCCCGCGAUUGAUGCAUUUUUUAAUUUUAAUUAUUUUUAAAUCAGACAAUAAAAUUUAUUAAAAAAAUUCUUAAGUGGGUUUCGGGAAUAAUCAUGGUCUAAUAUAAAAUAAAACACUACUUUCUCAUGAUGACACUUCAUCAAGAAACUUGCUACAAACUUGAAAUAUCACCAUAUGUUCAAUUAUUAAUUAUUCCAGUUUUCUCCUCUUUUAUUAUUUAGAACAAAUAUAUUAAUAACUCAUUUAACAAUUUAAACUCAUUUUAAUCAAUAUUUUAUUUUCAGCUCUAUAAAUCUUUUGACAUCAAUAUUUAUUAAAAAAAAUAAUUAGUGAAAACAUAAUAUAAUUCAAAAGUACAUAAAUUAGAAAAUAGAGAAAAUUAAUAAAAACAAAAAAGGAGAAAUUCAUAGGCUAUAUAUCCAUGCUUCAUCAACCCACCCUAAUAAAAUAAAAUAAAAAGUGAAUCUCACAUCUUUUCUGUUCACCAAACUCAAUUUACAAAACCAAAAAAAAAUAAUAAUAGAUAACCACAUUUGAAGAUAAAUACAUAACCAAAACUAAAAUUUUAAAAAGUUUGGAAAAUAGAAGUAAC